ensembl:lncRNA
AUGUUGCAUGAACCGUGCUUGGCCACUUUUACCCAGGAGUUGGCAGAAUUUGAAACUGUCCCUGGAGCUUCCAUCAAGGGUCUGACCGCAGAAGUAGAUGUCCUGAAGAAUGAACUGCAGAAAGUCAUUCAGUACAGGAAAGUGUCCAAGAAGAGAAAUGCAGGAGUUCAACAGCCAAACUUCGAGAGAGAACUGAAGAUGGCAAUUGAAAAAUACAAAACGGAUCUCUCGGCACUGACGAAGAUGUGUGAGGAGAUGAAGAAACUCUACUCUGUCAUACUGGUUAAAUUCGGAGAACCAGCGGAUCAAGACUCUCAGGAGCUCUUUGGGUUGAUUUGUCAGUUCAUUCACGAGUUCAAGAGGGCCCGUGCUGAAAUGAUAUGAAUUAUACUCUACAGAGUACAUAUUGCUUACCACUGAGACAGCAGUGAUUAUUCAUUAUUAGUCACAGUUUAGAAAGAUGAAGAUACAAAAAUAUUAGGAUGCUUUGAAAUAUAAAAUGUUGCAUGGAUUUGUUUGUACAGAUGUUUUUUUUAUAAUGGGCACUGAAUUUCAUUCAUAGUAUAGACAUACAGUAUGAAGUGUAUAGUGAUGCUGAUGCAUCUGGAUGACAGGAUGACAAUGCCAGUGAAAAUCAAUUUUGUGAAUAUAAAACUGAUCUAUCACAUUAUUUCACAUCAGAGGUUGUUUUGAUUUGUGUUGACUUCUUGUUUACUGACUAUUUGUUUUGAGACGAAUCAGUAAUGCAGGAUUUGAAAGCCCUCGGUUGUAAGACACACGCGGAUGCUGAAGUGUGCCGCUAAUACCCACAGCUCUGUGCUGGCAGAGGAACAGAAUGGGCCACACUUCAGAGGCCAGCUGAGGCUGGUGUACUUUGGGUGCGUGAUUAUUUUGAACAUGCAAUCGCGCUGUGGUCGGGGACAUUUUCUAUCCCAGCUCUCCAGGAGGAGCUCCAAGGCCGCCUCUGAUUAAGGACCACAUCUGCACUGUGGCAAUGACAUGAUGAGAAGCACAACAUUCCCCAUCAAAAGGUUGAAAGGUAUUCUUAGCACGGUUUAGAACUGAUGCAUGUGUUAUACAGGUUGUGUGUGUCUUGACAUUUUAAUCAGUUGACAACAAAAGCACUGUAGCUGUAACUGUGAACCAUGGUGGUAUAAUGAACCCGACCUCACACUGAGCAGGAAAAGUUGCACAUUUUCUUGAAAAAGAAGAAACCACUGAUUUUAAUUAAAACUUUGCAUCUGUAGAAACUGGUGAUUCAUUAGCAGGAAACACGCAAAACUAUUUCAUUAAAUGUUUUCUUCACACAGUCUUAUCUUAUUAGGAUGUUUUACAUUUCCAAUUUGUCAAAAUUGACGCUGGAUGAAUCAUUAAGGUUGGUUUUUUUUUCUUGAUGUAGUGUCUUUGUACCGCUUUUGAAAUGAAAGAGAGAUGAGUGACAUGUCUUUAAGCAUGUACACAAGAUCAACUACAGAAGUCACUUCUUCUUUCUUACUUUGGAAUUAGGUUCACUUUUUAAGAGACAAAGACAUGUAUAAUAUAAUAGUUAUGCCUUUAUUGUCCCCUUGUUAUAUGCCACAAUCUGAAUUGCUACACUUUUCUUCCAGUUUUCAAAUACUUUGUCAGUAUUACCUUUGUUUGUAUGGGCUCCAUUGUACACUACUUUUCACUUUUAGUUUUGGAGGUCAUUACUGGGUUUUUAGAGCUCUGUGUAUAAAAAGGUAAGACAUUUUAUCUCAGUGUGAGGAUAUUAUAUUUAUUAUAUAAAAUAUCUAUUCUAUUUG